rnacentral:rRNA from 1 species
AGGACGAACGCUGGCGGCGUGCCUAAUACAUGCAAGUCGAACGAGACUUUCCUCGGUAGUAAUACCUUUGAUUGUCUAGUGGCGAACGGGUGAGUAACACGUGAGAAACCUGCCCUGAAGACGGGGAUAACAGGAGGAAACUUCUGCUAAUACCCGAUACCCCCACCGGAUCGCAUGGUCUGGUGAGGAAAUGGAUUCCGCUUCAGGAGGGUCUCGCGGCCUAUCAGCUUGUUGGUGAGGUAACGGCUUACCAAGGCUUGGACGGGUAGCUGGUCUGAGAGGACGAUCAGCCACACUGGGACUGAGACACGGCCCAGACUCCUACGGGAGGCAGCAGUAAGGAAUAUUGCGCAAUGGGCGAAAGCCUGACGCAGCAACGCCGCGUGCGGGAUGGAAGGCCCUCGGUUGUAAACCGCUUUCGAGUAGGAAGAAAAUGACGGUACCUACAGAAGAAGACCCGGCCAACUACGUGCCAAGCGAGCCGC